rnacentral:rRNA from 1 species
GUGUCAGCAGCCGCGGUAAGACAGAGGGUGCAAACGUUGUUCGGAAUCACUGGGCAUAAAGCGCACGUAGGCGGUCCACUAAGUCUCAUGUGAAAUCCCCCGGCUCAACCGGGGAAUUGCGCGAGAUACUGGUGGGCUAGAGAUCGGUAGGGGUGAGUGGAACUCCAGGUGGAGCGGUGAAAUGCGUAGAUAUCUGGAGGAACACCGGUGGCGAAAGCGGCUCACUGGACCGACACUGACGCUGAGGUGCGAAAGCUAGGGUAGCAAACGGGAUUAGAUACCCCAGUAGUCC